rnacentral:rRNA from 1 species
GACGAACGCUGGCGGCGUGCUUAACACAUGCAAGUCGAACGAAGUGGCGAACGGGUGAGUAACGCGUAAUCAACCUGCCCUUCAGAGGGGGACAACAGGUGGACACGACUGCUUAUACCGCAUACUGAAGGAGGGGAGUUCGCCGGAUUAGCUAGGUGGAGGGGUAACUGCCCACCAAGGCGAUGAUCAGUAGCCGGUCGGAGAGGAGGACCGGCAACAUUGGGACUGAGACACGGCCCAGACUCCUACGGGAGGUAGCAGUGGGGAAUCUUCCGCAAUGGACGAAAGUCUGACGGAGCAACGCCGCGGGAGUGAUGACGGCCUUCGGGUUGUAAAGCUCUGUUAAUCGGGACGCGGUACCGGAAUAGAAAGCCACGGCUAACUACGUGCCAGCAGCCGCGGUAAUUC